CCUACGGGUGGCAGCAGUCGAGAAUCAUUCACAAUGGGGGAAACCCUGAUGGUGCGACGCCGCGUGGGGGAAUGAAGGUCUUCGGAUUGUAAACCCCUGUCAUGUGGGAGCAAAUUAAAAAGAUAGUACCACAAGAGGAAGAGACGGCUAACUCUGUGCCAGCAGCCGCGGUAAUACAGAGGUCUCAAGCGUUGUUCGGAAUCACUGGGCGUAAGGCGUGCGUAGGCUGUUUCGUAAGUCGUGUGUGAAAGGCGCGGGCUCAACCCGCGGACGGCACAUGAUACUGCGAGACUAGAGUAAUGGAGGGGGAACCGGAAUUCUCGGUGUAGCAGUGAAAUGCGUAGAUAUCGAGAGGAACACUCGUGGCGAAGGCGGGUUCCUGGACAUUAACUGACGCUGAGGCACGAGGGCCAGGGGAGCGAAAGGGAUUAGAUACCCUAGUAGUC
rnacentral:rRNA from 1 species